CCGACGUCGGGCACCACACGCCACAAACCCAACGACACACGAAAACGCCACGUCUCCUUGAAUUCUUCUCUUCCGCGUCUUCUCGUUCGUGACCGAUGGCGCACCCAGACACUCAUCAACGCGUCUACCGACAGUGCGAGACGGGUGGGAGGGGGGGGGUGAGGACACCCAGACACGAGGAGGCAGCAACAGCGCACACAAGAGGGAAGCAGAGAUACCGACGGGCGCGUGCACCGACUCACGUCUCGGUCUGCGUACGCACGUUCCUUGUCUUGGUCGCCUUUUGCUGACAGCUCAUGACCUGGAAAACCGUUCCGCUCCGUCCCCCUCACACAUGCGUGCACCCCAUUUCCUAGCCGCUCCCACCACCUAGCGAAACAGGGCAGCACAAAGAAGGCGUAAGAAGAUGUUCACGUUGGGUGAACCGGGUGUCCACGAGGGUGAGGCCGAUGUGCACAUGCCACCCAGCACGAUUCUGACUUCCAUCAGCAGCAUCUGUGGCAUGCACGUGCCGAUCUCUCUCGGCCACCAAGGCGGUCUCAAGGCGUCUAACCUAGUGAAGAUCAAUCGCCUGUGUCGCACGGGAGUGCAUGAAGGGUAACCCCGAGGUGAGAGAUGCGCUGCAGAGGCCGCCGCAGGGAGUGACUCGUGCAAGUCUGGGAUCCGCAAGGGAGAGCAACUUCGCGGCAUCCACAAAAGCUUGCCUUUCCAUCGGGUUGUAGCGCAAGUAAAACACGCUCGCAAAGCCCUCUGCCCUCGAGGUCACUAUCCGGGGACUCAUUCCACACAUUGUUUCCCUGCUGCACACUCUGGCGUUUGUGUGCGCGGCGGAUGUUGCCAUGGGAGCACUCAGAGGUCGGGCCCCCUUCCACUCGUUUUUCUUUUCGUUCGCGUCUGAGAGAAGUUCCUCCGUCUUGACUUUUCCGUGAGAUGCUGUGCUGCCCUUAUGAGGUGUGCAGUUGUUGGGUGUCUGGCGGUGCUGCGCACUUCGGACCCUGGUGUGACGCAGGCGAAACGUUGACGAGCCUCCGAGGCUCUAGGUGAGGCGGCGCUGCGUCUUCCGGCACUGAAGCGAACUCGUUUCUCAGACUAGUGGAGCACAUGGGAGGUGGCGUCUUCCGUGGAAACCGCUAAACCGGGAACGUGUGAUGGGCUCGUGGGUGUCACAAAGGGAGGUGCCGGAAUACACGUGCCAUGCGCCUCGCGCGCGCGUCUCGGUCGAAUUCGGCGCCAAGGUGCCGACUGAUCAGGUGCGGGCCAGUACCGACUUGACGCACAAGAGCACAACGAUUGACUGACGCCGCACGGCGGGCUGGGAGUUGGCGGCGACGGGGAGGUGGUGGCAAUGUGGCCAUCAUGUGUGCUAAUCGGCCGCUGCCGUCAACGGAGUGAGAAGGCGCCGGCUCUGGGCCUUUGCAUUUUGCCCCUGUCGGCAAAGGGCAUGCGGAUGCGAGCAGGCUUGGACGGAACCGCACGACGACGAAGUGCCGCGGCCCUCCCAUCUUCUCGCGCAUGCGCCGCACGGUGUGGGCUGCCAAGUUCGUGCAGUCUUGCUACCGCCGGCAAAGUUGCGAAGCGACGCAAAGACGCACGCAGUAGCCAUGCUUUUUUUUUUCUUGUCUCUCUCCCUUCGGCCACUCCUCCUCUCCCCUUCCUUCUGUCCAUGUCCGUGUCCGUGCGUGUUCGCGGUGUGCGGAGCAGAAGACGGCCCUCUUUGCGUGCAAUCUAACUUCUUUUCUUUUUCCAGUUCUGCUGCCCUGAGAGAGAAUGCCGCUGUGUGUGCCUGCGUGCGCGUGUGCGUAGGAACUGGCCGCUCUCGAGAAUUGUUUCUAUCUACUCUCUUCUGUGUGCUGCUUCGCGUCGCCGCUUUCACUGCUGCCAACGGAUCAGGUUCCCAUCCUCCAUCCUCCAUCCCCACGCCCGCCUGCUCAGUUUUGCGCGUCAUCUUCGUUGUCCUCCUUUCCUUUGCCGCUGCCUGUGCUCUCUGCCGUUGUGACUCCAGAGAUGAUGCUGGACACAAGUACGAUGGAAAGAAGAGAACCCCCUGCCCCCUGCGCCCUGCCCCAUGCCCACUUUCGCCUUUCACAUCUUGUCGUUGUUUCGUUGCACGUUUUCUGUGCCGCUCCCUCACCGAUGCAUUGCCACGCAAG
rnacentral:misc_RNA from 1 species